UACAGAGGUCUCGAGCGUUAGGCGGAAUCACUGGGCGUAAAGCGUGUGUAGGUGGAUCGUUAAGUACCUUGUGAAAUCCCACGGCUUAACCGUGGAACUGCUUGGUAUACUGGGCGGUCUUGAGUCAGCUAGGGGCUACCGGAACAAAUGGUGGAGCGGUGAAAUGGCGUAGAUAUCAAUUUGGAACGCCAAUGGGUGAAAACAGGUAGCUGGGGCUGUACUGACACUGGAGAACACGAAAGCCCAGGGGAGCAAACGGG
rnacentral:rRNA from 1 species